AACGCCAUGCAGAAACAUUUAUUUACUUCCUUAGCCUACUUGCUUAUUUAUUCAUCCGUUUGCUAUCUUUUUAUUUUUACCUUACCGCGAAGACUUUGUGACGGAUGGACUGAAGCGCGGGUGGCCCUUUAAGAGAAGAAGAGGAGGGGGCUUAGAGCUGGGUUACGGCUCUGUUUUGUGUCCCUGUCAGUGAGCAAGCGAGAAGCCAUCAAGUGAGGAGUGGUCGGCAAUGACGGAGGCUCAGCGAAAGGCGAGGUAGACUGGUAUUCGGUCUGGGAGCUGCUCCUCUGCUGCUGGCCUCCAUUAUACUGUGUGUGAAAUGGUGCAGGAAACCAGGGUCGUCUAAUGAAGCAGCUGUCAAAUACACUGAAGAGAAUGUGGAAGUUGACUUAUAAAACCUUCACACAGAAGCUGGAUCAGUGUGCUCAUGUGGAAUGAAGAACGUUUGAGAGCUCAGGAUUAUUUUUCAAUGUGAUGCUUCUCAGCUUGCAGGAGGGGAAAUCCUGAUUGAGGGUGCAGUAAUGGGGACACUCAGUGAGUUUUGGGAAUGAAGCAGUCGUGCCUUUAGAGUGCAGGAUCUGUAUAAUAUAUCUGAGGUUCUGAUUCACCAGAGCUGGACUUGUGGUCUUUGUCUAAGUUAGUCUGCUUUCAUUGCUGUAUGUUGGUUUCAGGUCCUACGUUCAACUUUAUAUAUUAUGCAGUAAACUCGCUGCAAGCUUACAUACAGCCUAAACAGCUGAGACUCUGCAACAUGUUCAACAUGCAUUUCAUGUGUCUGCUUUUAUUAGUAUUACAUUAAAUGGACUUUAAAGUGUG